rnacentral:rRNA from 1 species
UGCGCAGGCGGCCUGAUAAGUCAGGGGUGAAAUAUGUCGGCUUAACCGGCAAACGGCCCCUGAAACUGCCAGGCUUGAGUCCGGGAGAGGUUAGUGGAAUUCCUGGUGUAGCGGUGAAAUGCGUAAAUAUCAGGAGGAACACCAAUGGCGAAGGCAGCUAACUGGCCCGGUACUGACGCUCAGGCACGAAAGCUAGGGGAGCGAACAGGAUUAGAUACCCUGGUAGUCC